rnacentral:lncRNA from 1 species
AUGACGGGUGGCAGGGUAGCCCCGGGAGGGAAGAGGGGGUCCGGUCAGGCGCGGGCAGGGGAGGAGACAAUGGGCCAAGGGGACUUCAGGGAAGGAGGGGGAGCGGGAGGAAGAGGAGGAGGAAGGGGGAGGAAGAGAGGAGGAAGAGAGGAGGAAGGGAGAGGAGGAGGAAGGGGGAGGAAGGGGGGAGGAAAGGGGAGGAAGAGAGGAGGAAGGAGGAGGAAGGGGGAGGAAGAGGAGGAGGAAAGGGGAGGAAGGGAGAAAGAGGAGGAGGGAGAGAAGCAGCAGCAGCUCCCACGGUGGCUCGGGGGGAGGAGAGGAGGAGGAGGAGGAGGAGGAGGGAGGGGAGGAGGAAGAAGAGCAGCAGCAGUGUCAGUCCCCUGGUGGCGUGUCCCCCUCCCCGGGCGCCCCCGCGUCCCGCCCCUCCCCGGGCGCCUCCGCCCCCCACCCGCUGCCCCGGUGCCCCUCGGCCUCGCCGUGCGCGCCCCCUCCCCUCCUCCCCCUCCCCCUCCCCCUCCCCGCCCCCCCAUGGCCCGCUCGGGCCUCCGGCGGCGGCCCGGGCCCGACACGGACGGGGGGGCGGGGGACCCUCCCCGGGCCGCCCCCCGAAACCCGGACCCCCCGCCCCCGGGGCCGCACCGCCCGGAGGGCGGACGGACGGACGGGCGGGGGGAGGGGGCGGCAGACACGGGGGAGGGGGGGGAGGAGGAGGAGGAGACACCGAGGGGGGAGGAGGAGGAGGAGGAGGGAGCGGAGACGGAGGGAGGAGGAGGAGGGGGAGGAGAGACGGAGAGACGGAGGGAGGCGCGUCCACCUGGCUGUCCAGGCGCGUGGAGCGGCAGCGGUGACCGCAGUGGACGCCCGCGGCGGGAGAAGCGCCCCCUCGCCAGCCCCGGGCCUUGCUGCUUGUCAUUUGAACUUUCAACUGCGUCUGAACGGCCGAACUCAUCGGUGGGACGUCGGAUGGGCCCCGACCGGAUCUAAAGUACCAUAGCCAUCCCGGACCGGGGCAGCCCAGCUGAACGUUGGACUAUUCGCUUUAACUCCAAAUUACUGACUACGCCGUGGGUAGGGAACGUAGCCGUUAAAUCGUUGUACCGUCCUCUCCCAAGCGCUCUGCUCACAGUCUCGUCUUACGCCGUCGAGUCGUUCCCGACCCAUGGCGACACCGCGGACGCGACUCUCCCAGACCGCCCCGCUCUCCAUCCGCGGUCGUCCCGGUAGUGGAUCCGGAGAGUUCUCUCGGUCAGAGUCCGGAAGCGGUUUACCAUCACCUCCUUCCGCGCGGUAAACUCAAGUCUCCGUCCUCGACUCUCUCCCGUGCCGCUGCUGCCCAGCAUGGGUGAGUUUUGACGGGAAGCGCUUAAUAAAUAUGACUGAUCAUUCUCUUGCUGCUCCACCAGGAGCGGCCAACAAGGGAUUCUUUCCUCCUCUAGACUGUAAGCUCACUGUGG